rnacentral:rRNA from 1 species
GACGAACGCUGGCGGCGUGCUUAACACAUGCAAGUCGAACGAAGAGCGAUGGAAGCUUGCUUCUAUCAAUCUUAGUGGCGAACGGGUGAGUAACGCGUAAUCAACCUGCCCUUCAGAGGGGGACAACAGUUGGAAACGACUGCUAAUACCGCAUACGAUCUAAACUCGGCAUCGAGGAUAGAUGAAAGGUGGCCUCUACAUGUAAGCUAUCACUGCAGGAGGGGAUUGCGUCUGAUGAGCUAGUUGGAGGGGUAACGGCCCACCAAGGCGAUGAUCAGUAGCCGGUCUGAGAGGAUGAGCGGCCACAUUGGGACUGAGACACGGCCCAGACUCCUACGGGAGGCAGCAGUGGGGAAUCGUCCGCAAUGGACGAAAGUCUGACGGAGCAACGCCGCGUGAGUGAUGACGGCCUUCGGGUUGUAAAGCUCGGUUAAUCGGGACGAAAGGCCUUCUUGCGAAUAGUGAGAAGGAUUGACGGUACCGGAAUAGAAAGCCACGGCUAACUACGUG